GCCACCAUCAUAGUUGCGCUCCAUUCGAUUGAACUUUGUCUCAAUGCCAUGCAAGUACCUUGAGCAAAGAGUCAUGCACUCAUUUGCAAUGUAUGCCUCUGCAAUUGAACCCUCUACACAAGCUCUAUUACGAAUACAUGACUUAAAUGAAUAUAAUGCUCGUUCUAUUGGGUACAUCCAACGAUAUUGUACUGGUCCACCAAUUUUAGCUUCAUUAGCCAAAUGCAUAGGCAAAUGCACCAUAAUGUCAAAGAAUGAAGGUGGAAAGAUCAUUUCUAGCUUACAAAGAGUUAUAGGAAUUUGCUUUUCUAAUUGCUCCAAUACAUCUACCUUUAAUGACUUUG
rnacentral:misc_RNA from 1 species